CCGCACGGGUGAGUAACGCGUAUCCAACCUGCCUUACACUCUUGGACAGCCUUCUGAAAGGGAGAUUAAUACAAGAUGGCAUCAUGAGUCCGCAUGUUCACAUGAUUAAAGGUGUUCCGGUAGACGAUGGGGAUGCGUUCCAUUAGAUAGUAGGCGGGGUAACGGCCCACCUAGUCUUCGAUGGAUAGGGGUUCUGAGAGGAAGGUCCCCCACAUUGGAACUGAGACACGGUCCAA
rnacentral:rRNA from 1 species